rnacentral:rRNA from 1 species
UACGGGGGGGCAAGCGUUGUUCGGAAUUACUGGGCGUAAAGGGCUCGUAGGUGGCCAACUAAGUCAGACGUGAAAUCCCCAGGCUUAACCUGGGAACUGCGUCUGAUACUGGAUGGCUUGAAUUCGGGAGAGGGAUGCAGAAUUCCAGGUGUAGCGGUGAAAUGCGUAGAUAUCUGGAGGAACACCGGUGGCGAAGGCGGCAUCCUGGACCGAUACUGACGCUGAGGAGCGAAAGCCGGGGAGCAAACGGG